rnacentral:rRNA from 1 species
CCUACGGGUGGCAGCAGUGGGGGAUAUUGCACAAUGGGGGGAACCCUGAUGCAGCGACGCCGCGUGGGUGAAGAAGCGCCUCGGCGCGUAAAGCCCUGUCAGCAGGGAAGAAAAUGCCGGUACCUGAAGCUGAAGCCCCGGCUAACUACGUGCCAGCAGCCGCGGUAAUACGGAGGGGGCAAGCGUUAUCCGGAUUUACGGGGGGUAAAGGGGGCGCAGACGGCGAUGCAAGCCAGGAGUGAAAGGCCGGGGCCCAACCCCGGGACUGCUCUUGGAACUGCGUGGCUGGAGUGCAGGAGGGGCAGGCGGAAUGCCUGGUGUAGCGGUGAAAUGCGUAGAUAUCGGGAGGAACACCGGUUGCGAAGGCGGCCUGCUGGACUGCAACUGACGUUGAGGCCCGAAAGCGUGGGGAGCGAACAGGAUUAGAUACCCCAGUAGUC